AUUAUCAGUUCACAACAACAAAUAUCUAAUAAACCUUAUGUUUAAAUUCGUUAUGUGAUCAUAAAGAGUUUCAGUGAAUAAAUUGGGCUCUAAAUGAUUCAUACAACACUUUGUUCUUCGCAGUGUAAUGACUAAUGACACCAUACUACAGUGAGGAAACUGUAAUUCAAGAAAUGACCUUGAUCUGGAGAAUCAGGAUUGUGUAUCAGUUAUAUUCUACCGGCAGAAGAUCUUUCUAGGUUCUUUUCCCGUUUGUUCUUCAACUUUUUUGAUCCUAAUUUAUGAUGUUCACCGAGGAUUAUAGAUAACUUUGCUCAGUCGUGGAUCAUGGUACCUUUACCUGUUGUCGACAUUUCCUCUUUCAGAUUUGAUGUUAGCUUGUACAAGCUGCUGGGUUGUGCUUAGAUGUUAUGGUUUCUCUGCUAUUUAGAAAGUACACUUAACACUCAUAAAGUACACUGAUCCUAACUUGAAAUAUUUAAUCCGGCAGGUUUAAAGUUUGUUGUAGGAAGGGCACACAAGUUUGAUGUUUGCAGUUCCAGAUUUUUGCCAAAGGCCGCUGAAACGAAGUUUAGUUCAGCAGACCAUAUAUGUUGGAAAAAAGCAAAUUUCUUGCCUUCCGAAUCCUCCGAAGCAUCAUAUUUUAUUUCAGGCCGAUUUGUCCCAGCUCAGUGUAUCUCUGGUAAAAUACGAACAUCAUUGUUUUUACUUUUUUAGGGGAUGCCACAAAAGGAAAAAUGACCAAGACUGCAUCUGUCAUGUUUUUUUGCUAGAUUGUUAAUUUCAAUUCAUGUUUGAUAUUGCAGUAUGGAGGUUUUGCCAAAUACAUGUUCUAUUGUCGUUUAUUUUCCACUAUUGUUGGGCCUCGUUUCUUUAUUUGCAUCCUCGGAUGUGUAAUGUUAUAUUGGUCAUGAUCCAGACAUUUCCAUCGACCAAUUAUAUAUUGUUAGCUUAUUGUAUUGCUGAAAUUACACUAGCCUAUGUAUUAUGGAGGAACCGUGCUAAACUGCUAAUGUAGCUGCAACAGCUUGAUAUAUGUUCUGCUACCAUAGAUGUCACUUCCUUCCUAAGUAUGUGUAUAGUUCUCAUCAAUAGAUGUUUUCUUUGCUGCCUGCUGUUUUCCGUAGUCUUAAGAAUGAUAUUUACCUGACUAAAAAGCCAAUAGCUCAUAAUAUUGAUAAUUCCAGUCGCUUGGUUGAUUAUCAUUGUACAAUAUAAUUCAGAGAAUACUAUUGUGUUUGUUUAUUCAGAGAAAACGCUUGAUAGGUGGGGAUUCGGAAGAAGCAACUGAUAGAUAGGGCGAGCCUUGUUGUGGGUCUCAGUUUUCCGUUUUUUGGGUUUGCACGUGAACCCUGCAUCUCGUAGUUCCUGUUUAAGUCCCAUGUUUGUGUACAUCCAAUUUAUAUUAGGGGUCCAUUGCAUUGUGUAAUACUGUUCGCUUUACACUUCUUUCUGAAUUGGUAUACCUGUUAAUGUGAGUCCCUCUUGUGCUAUUUUGCCGUUGAUUUGGUCUUACCUGGAAUUGUUUGACUCUUAGAUUUUUUCACCGUUUGAUCUCCUAUUUUUUUAUGGGGUUUCUUCCCUUCGAUUCUGCCUCUAUUUUGGAUUUUUCCUUUCUCUAUUUUGGAUGCUUCCUUGGUGUUCUUUUCUUGGAUUUAGUUUCCCCUCUUCCUCUUGAGUUAAAAAUCAUGCAUACAUCGUAACAAAAAAAAGAGUUGCAGGCUUUUGGAAUUUAAAUAGUAACGAUGAAAAGAUGGUGUGAUGUAUUUGGAACCGUGGCAGGUGGAAUUUUGCUUCGGUGGUGUGAAUCUAGCUACAACUGACCAUCUGUUGAAGUUUAAUACUAAAGAUUCAGAUGGAUUUGUUAGAGGCAUGCUGUAUUAUAGGAAAUCUUUGAAGCUUCAAGCAUUCCUAGACAUGGCUUCUUAAUCUGGUGCCUCCAAGAGAAGUGCACGCACUCAUUUACUCAAGCGCUCUAAUUUCAUAUUAUGCCUCGCCGAUUUUCCUGUCAAGUGCACCCAACUGUCACUGACCCUGCCUUAAUUCCAAUGCUCAUUACUUACAUUUUACAUCUCAUUUACUCUAAAUUUCUUGUUCUUAUUCGGUUACUUUGUACAUAUAAUUGCAGAUCAUUUCAGUGCUCAGAGACUUGCAACUCAGGACACUAUAGUGCUCUGUCUUCAUGUGCACUCUAUUUUGUGCAUGUGCAUUUCAUACCAUAGACAUCGA